AGUCUUUAUUGCUGCUGGAGUCAGUUCUGAACCCAGACACCAGUCUUCAUUUUCCAGGUCACCUUCAUUAAAGUUGUCAUCAGUCGAGAUGUGGGUCAGCGGUGACUGGGGCCGGGAAUCCCCACACAAGGAGUAGCUGUGCUCUGCCUGGAUGAGUGGCGCUGGGGAUGCUGGAGACAGUUCCACCUCCAUCACUUCAUUCUUCUCAGACAAGAAGGGAUCGUUCAAGAGCUGGCCUAGGACAUCAGUUGAGAACUCAUCCAGGAAUUCUGUGAAGUGCGUGUGGCCCAGCAGGGUGUCAGGGUCGGCGGGCUCGCACAGCUCGCUCAGCUUGCGAUCCCAGUGCAGCAGCGGCGGCUGCUCGCCGCUCUCGCACACCUCCAUGGCGGCCCCGGCUGCCCCGCGCCCGGCUCACGCCGCGCCGACCACUCCCAUGGGCCGCCCGCCGCCGGUACCGGCGCCGCUCCGAGGCCGCGUCCCCCGCCGGAGCCAGGAGUGCCGG
rnacentral:lncRNA from 1 species